GUGAGGAAUAUUGGUCAAUGGGCGGGAGCCUGAACCAGCCAAGUCGCGUGAAGGAAGAAGGAUCUAUGGUUCGUAAACUUCUUUUGCAGGGGAAUAAAGUGCAGGACGUGUCCUGCUUUGUAUGUACCCUGAGAAUAAGGAUCGGCUAACUCCGUGCCAGCAGCCGCGGUAAUACGGAGGAUCCGAGCGUUAUCCGGAUUUAUUGGGUUUAAAGGGUGCGUAGGUGGUUUGAUAAGUCAGCGGUGAAAGUUUGCAGCUUAACUGUAAAAAUGCCGUUGAAACUGUCGGACUUGAGUGUAAAUGAGGUAGGCGGAAUGCGUGGUGUAGCGGUGAAAUGCAUAGAUAUCACGCAGAACUCCGAUUGCGAAGGCAGCUUACUAAGCUACAACUGACACUGAAGCACGAAAGCGUGGGGAUCAAACAGGAUUAGAAACCCCAGUAGUCC
rnacentral:rRNA from 1 species